UAGAGCAGGCAAAGUAUUCGAGUAGGCGGACGACAAUCUGCAGAUCGUGUUAGUUGAAAAGUGUGAGGCUUAUCCGAACCCCUGGUAGAGGAAGUGUAGGAAGAUUUUGUUUUGAAUUGGGAUGAUACACAGUUGAGAAGAAUUACUAGCUUAUAAUGAGUUUGUUUCCACCCCUCUUAUUUUUCACUUCUAGAUGAUUGGACAAGUUGAGAAGAAUUACUAGCUUAUAAUGAGUUUGUUUCCACCCCUCUUAUUUUUCACUUCUAGAUGAUUGGACUAAGUUUUGGUUAACUUUUCUUGUUGUUUUCAAUUUUCAGUUAAGUUAAUGUGUAUGAUAUUCAAUCCAAGUCUUCUGUUUUUCGAUUCUAAAAAAAUUUCAUGUUUCUCUUCCCCUCCUACUAUUUUAACUGUAAUAUCCACACAUUCAUGCAGUUAGUUCAUGAAAUGUUCAUGUUGGUUUCUUGUGUUUCUGCUA
rnacentral:lncRNA from 1 species